CAAUGGCAAGAGCCCGUUUCUAUCAAGCUAUCCUCUCGGAGCCAAUCCGCGCCGUCCCAGGGAUCCCUGUAAACCGGAGCCGAUCCCUUCUGUUCCUCAAACGUAAUCUGCGGCGCGGGGAGGGAGGCGCGCUCGCGCGGGCUUGCUGUGGAGUUGAACUCGGAUGGAGAUGAUGCCAGGUCAGACGCAGGCAGCGUGGCACCGAGUCUGGGUGGAUGGAUGGGUGGAAGGAUGGGACAGAGAGGGAAAAGAUUGUUUGGACACAAUUCCUGUGACUUCAUCGUUCCAACCAGAUUCCACCCCUUAUCCAAAGACUUCAACUUCUAAACUUACCUAGUUCUGUCUUUUUGCGUACAAUGUGAUUGAAACUGUCACUGCCCCGCGGAAAUGCCGCGCACUCUGUCAUAUGUCCUCACAUGCAGCCUAAAUUUGCCAUUCGGGCGACAUUUCAGCCCGAAAUGUCCGUUCUGGCUCCUCCACCGCCUGCCCUCCCUGUCAGCUCGGCUCAGGGUCGCAUCCCGCCUGCCUCGGCGAACAUUCAACGCUGUCGGUGAGUUUGGUACGCACGAGCGAAAAACCAUCGACCGUUGACUGUGCCCCGCGGCUGGCGAUGACGUCACCAAGGAAUUCAUCAACGAAAAGGGAUGCCGGACGCAAAGUACGGGGCGAAUAACUCCACAUAAGCGCGACUCUUGUUCCCACUGUACCCGAAGACCAAAGGUCACAAUCAACAUUCAUUGCUGUCGCUGGGUUGGACUCUGUGGUAAAGCUCACUGAACAAUGAGUGCAACUGUGGCCCAGAUCUGCCUGACUUGUGUCUCAGCCAAUCAGCCGGCCGGAUGCCAAGCACUCUAAUUUCUUUAUUUAUAAACUCCUUGUUUUUCGCUUCUAUUUUCCCCUCUCUUCCUCCCUCCCCGGUGCCGGGGCUUUAAGAGGAAGAGCGAGGUCGACACGAAAAGGCUUCUGGCUGCUCGCUUGUCCUCUUCCUCCUCUCCUCUAAUUGAUGGUUAUGUGUUCAGCAAGGGGGAAGGAAGCAGAGUGAAUGUGUAAUCAUUUGGAGUCUAUUCUCCUUUAGACUUUUCAUCCCUCUCUUUUUUGUUUAUCUAAUUAUACACCCAGCUCAGUUAACUGUGUGUCUGUGCUGGCAGGGAAGAUGGAUUGGCAGAAAGGAAGACAAAAAGACAAACAAGCUUGAGAGAUUACAGCCCCAGAAAUAUUAUUAUCUGGUUUGGAGAGUAUUUCCUGUUCUUUUUGGACCAAAAUAGGUUUAAAUGUGUAAAAAAAGGACAUUUAUUUCCACCUUUUGAGCGUUAUUAUCUGUGUGUGAUGUUCACGAGAGCACGUCUGGUUUCUUGUCUGACCUGUGUGUUCAUGUGUGCUGUGAUGAAGGACCUGUCUGCUGAUGUCAGGGAGCAAUAUGUUAUUUUCCUUCCAUACUAAAGCGUGCACUCUCAUGGGAGAAAGCAGCCUAUAACCUUGUCUUUCUUCAGCGUGUGCGUCUGGCCAUUUGUCAUUGUACCUUUUAGUAACAGCUCUCUAAUUCUGUUUCAAAAACAUGUGAUAUUUAUAAUAAAUUGCUCUCAAAAUCA